UAGAGACCCAUUCCACCCAGACAAAGGGGUCUAGAGGGUCUGCGGCAAUCAGGCUUCUGGAUGCUACAGAAAACCGAGUCUUUUUUUCAAGUGUGCAAGACACUUAAGAUGUGGUCUUUGCUCUAAAACUCCCUCCUUGAGGGACCAGCAUUUCUCAAAUCUCAAUUACCUUUCCAGACUUGUUUGUUUGUUUGUUUGUUUAUUAACUUUCUACCGUUUUGUUUGGGGGUCUUUUUAGACAUUCUUAUUUAGGCCCUUAGCUCUCUAGGUACCUUUAAGACAUUUAUCACUAGAAACCAUUUCAUGUAACGUUUUGGCAAUGUCUGGCAGCAAAAGUUGUUUUUCUUCAGCUAAAAAAAAACAAAGAGGAAGUAACCCAUGGGGUGGAGGAAUUUGUCAGUCACAGUGACUGACUUUAGUAGGGCCUGUGUGCUUUACCAAAAAGAAAAUAUCUCAAGUUUUUGUUCCUUAUAGUUGUGGCCCUAAUUCUCUAGUUUUUUUUUUUUUUCCUAUGUAUUUUCUUACUUUAUCCUAGGCCAUUCUUCUAGGUGUUUGUUUGUUUGUUUGUUUUGUUUUGUUUUGUUUGAACCCAGAACAUUUAUUUUUUUAAUCUAGAACAACAUAGAUCUAUGUUAUCUUACUCUGUCCAAAACACUGGCCAGAUCCUUUCUCAUGACUUUGAACCUCUAUUUGUCUUUUUAAGUUAUAUUUUUAACCAUGAGAUCCAACUGAAGAUGUUGGUCCCGUCUAGUGACUGUUAGGUUGGCAUCAAAAUUUAAACAGAGGCGAACAGUCUUAAGCCAGUAGGUGACCUGGGAUGUUUUGUUUUAUUUUGUUUUUUAACUUUUAAUUGGGCUUUUCAGGCUUAGCUUUCUAUUUGAAGUGAAAACUAAAGAUGACAAAAUUACUAGAAUAAUGUUUAAAUGCCUCAAAUUACAGUGUUUCUUGUUUGAUAAAUACAGACACAAUGAAUUUGAGGUCAUUUAAGGAUAAACAUUUUGGUUUUAUCUAUGACAUUUGAAAUACAGCUGGUACCCAGAAUACCUGUUAUGCAAUGUCAUUUUCAACAGAGCAACUAAAUACCAAUGAUAGUAAACAAAACCUCAUCUAUAUUACCUUAAUUGGGGAAUAAAAUAUUUUUUAAAAGCUCUUAUUCAUGUCUUUAGUUAUUUAGCCCUUUAGCAUUGUUUCCCAUGCUUAGUUGAUACACUGUAUACAAGGGAGCAACACUGACUAGAGAGACAGGCAUAAACUGGGAGUCUCCCAGCCAACAGAGGGUUUUAUCAUUUAAAUAUUGAUACUGUAGGGUUAUAGACAUCAAAUGAAUCCACUGAGAACUGAGUGCCCGUCUGAACCUCUGCUCCUCAGUUACACCCUGUUGCCAUCCCUAGAGAAGGCCUUAGGGCAGAGAGACUUCAGGGGCAUCUGUAACUGGUAAACACAUGUAUUUGCUUUCUGUGUUUGAUGAAAGGCUUUCCUGAAGAGAUAUACUGGGGCUUCUGACCACUGGAUCAGCCUGCAGAGAGAGUCAUCAGAACACCCUUGGAGGUUUACAGACAACACUGAAUAUAACAGCUUGCAUGUUUCAGAUUGCCUUUCAUUCUGUUGUGUUCCUGUGUUGUGAUGUUUGUCAGUUGUGGCUAUGAGACAUGAAAGAUGGAGUAUGUGCAGCCAAGUAUAUUGGAAAACAAGAAAAAUAAGCCCUUAGGCUGGAUGACGUAUGGCCCUAGCAAACUCUAUAUGCCCUCAAAUCUAACCCCCUUCCCUUUGUAAGCUCCAAAUCCCCUCAGAUCUAAUUGCUUUUUCUGCCCUUCCAUUUACCAGCUGCAAUUGUAGAAACCCUUUCCUUGCUGUGAUUUCACUUAAAUCCUUAGUGUUGUGGUGGCCUCUGGGCUAGCUCUUGUCCUUUACCAACUAAAAUGAUUCCUUGCUAUAACCAUGCUAUGUAGCAUGUAGACAGAACUGCAUAUGGGCACUUGGGGUCCUAACACCCUCCAAAUGACUGCUCAGUGCAAGUGUGAGACUCAUCAGUCCACUCUUUGCCCAACUGCACCUGUUCACAUGCACAGGCUACAGGGCCCCUGGGAACUUCCUGUAAAUUCUCAUCAUCAGAAGUCAAGAGCUCCAGCUUGGAUGGGAAACAUUUCAGGCUGACCUGGACCUUGGAGCUUCACCUGCCACUGCUUCUCAAGAGUUUGGAUUACAGUCAUACUCCACCAUGUCUUUUUUAAUGAGAUACUGAGCUUCCAUAUGAAAAGGCAUGCCAUCAGGGAGACUGAAGAAGGUGACUAUCUCAAUAAUAAAGGAUUCAGAAGUGCCAGGAUCAACACAGAGAAGAAAUGGAUUUGUAGCAAGCGGUAUUUGCAGCCCUUGUUAAAUUACUUAGCUUGUUUUGAUUAUCAAAUUAAAUUUUUAUUUAAAAA